rnacentral:rRNA from 1 species
AUACGUAGGGUGCGAGCGUUGUCCGGAAUUACUGGGCGUAAAGAGCUCGUAGGUGGUUUGUCGCGUCGUCUGUGAAAUUCCGGGGCUUAACUCCGGGCGUGCAGGCGAUACGGGCAUAACUUGAGUACUGUAGGGGAGACUGGUAUUCCUGGUGUAGCGGUGAAAUGCGCAGAUAUCAGGAGGAACACCGGUGGCGAAGGCGGGUCUCUGGGCAGUAACUGACGCUGAGGAGCGAAAGCAUGGGUAGCGAACAGGAUUAGAUACCCUGGUAGUCCAUGCCGUAAACGGUGGGCGCUAGGUGUAGGGGUCUUCCACGACUUCUGUGCCGUAGCUAACGCAUUAAGCGCCCCGCCUGGGGAGUACGGCCGCAAGGCUAAAACUCAAAGGAAUUGACGGGG